UACGAAGGGGGCUAGCGUUGUUCGGAAUUACUGGGCGUAAAGCGCGCGCAGGCGGCUAUCCAAGUCAGUGGUGAAAGCCCGGAGCUCAACUCCGGAACUGCCAUUGAAACUGUUUAGCUUGAGGACGAGAGAGGUGAGUGGAAUUCCCAGUGUAGAGGUGAAAUUCGUAGAUACUGGGAAGAACACCGGUGGCGAAGGCGGCUCACUGGCUCGUAUCUGACGCUCAGGCGCGACAGCGUGGGGAUCAAACAGG
rnacentral:rRNA from 1 species